rnacentral:tRNA from 1 species
UAUUAAAUAUCUUAAUUUUAAAGAAUUGAAUUUUUAAUUCAAAAAUAAUAAUAAUAAUUAUUUUUAAUAA